AUUUAUAUAAUAUAAGUAAUUAUAUUUGACUUCCAAUCAAAUUAUCUAGAAAUCUAGUAUAAAUA
rnacentral:tRNA from 1 species